AGUGAACGCUGGCGGCAGGCCUAAUACAUGCAAGUCGAACGGCAGCACAGUGGAGCUUGCUCCAUGGGUGGCGAGUGGCGGACGGGUGAGGAAUACAUGGGAAUCUGCCCAGUCGUGGGGGAUAACGUAGGGAAACUUACGCUAAUACCGCAUGCGCCCUUCGGGGGAAAGCCGUGGACCUUCGGGCCUGGCGCGAUUGGAUGAGCCCAUGUUCGAUUAGCUAGUUGGCGGGGUAAAGGCCCACCAAGGCGACGAUCGAUAGCUGGUCUGAGAGGAUGAUCAGCCACACUGGGACUGAGACACGGCCCAGACUCCUACGGGAGGCAGCAGUAGGGAAUAUUGGACAAUGGGCGCAAGCCUGAUCCAGCCAUGCCGCGUGAGUGAAGAAGGCCCUCGGGUUGUAAAGCUCUUUUGUCCGGGAAGAAAAGCAUCGGGCUAAUACCUCGGUGUUCUGACGGUACCGGAAGAAUAAGCACCGGCUAACUUCGUG
rnacentral:rRNA from 1 species